rnacentral:rRNA from 1 species
UCUAGAACCGAUAACCCCCGUUCAACCUCACCACCUCUUGUUUUCCCCGCCUAUAUACCACCGUCGUCAGCUUACCCUGUGAAGGCCCUAUAGUAAGCAAAAUGGGCAAAACCCAA